AUUGAACGCUGGCGGCAGGCCUAACACAUGCAAGUCGAACGAGUGGCGGACGGGUGAGUAAUGCCUGGGAAUCUGCCUAAUGGAGGGGGAUAACGACGGGAAACUGUCGCUAAUACCGCUUACCAUCGGAUGAGCCCAAGGGGGAUUAGGUAGUUGGUGGGGUAACGGCCCACCAAGGCGACGAUCCCUAGCUGGUCUGAGAGGCUGACCAGCCACACUGGGACUGAGACACGGCCCAGACUCCUACGGGAGGCAGCAGUGGGGAAUAUUGCGCAAUGGGCGCAAGCCUGACGCAGCCAUGCCGCGUGAAUGAAGAAGGCCUUCGGGUUGUAAAGUACUUUCGGUGGCGAGGCGUUACCCACAGAAGAAGCACCGGCUAACUCCGUGCCAGCAGCCGCGGUAAUAC
rnacentral:rRNA from 1 species